rnacentral:rRNA from 1 species
GACAGAGGGUGCAAACGUUGUUCGGAAUUACUGGGCGUAAAGCGCAUGUAGGCGGCCAAGCAGGUCGGAUGUGAAAGCCCUCGGCUCAGCCAAGGAAGUGCAUUCGAAACCGCAUGGCUCGAGUCCCGGAGAGGAUGGUGGAAUUCUCGGUGUAGAGGUGAAAUUCGUAGAUAUCGAGAGGAACACCGGCGGCGAAGGCGGCCAUCUGGACGAGGACUGACGCUGAGAUGCGAAAGCGUGGGGAGCAAACAGG